UACGGAGGAGGCAAGCGUUAUCCGGAAUUAUUGGGCGUAAAGCGUCCGUAGGGGGGGGUCCAAGUCAGUUGUUAAAGAGUGGAGCUUAACUCCAUAAGGGCAAUUGAAACUGGGUUUCUAGAGUGCGAUAGGGGCAAGGGGAAUUCCCAGUGUAGCGGUGAAAUGCGUAGAUAUUGGGAAGAACACCGGUGGCGAAAGCGCCUUGCUGGGUCUGCACUGACACUGAGGGACGAAAGCUAGGGGAGCGAAAGGG
rnacentral:rRNA from 1 species